AUGUACUGGCAUUGUUGGUUUCUCCCUUCUGACGAACCAUGAUGUCAUUUAUUUGGUGUUGUGGGGAAUCAGGACUGUUACUUUGAAAAAAUUAGAGUGUUUAAAGCAGGCUCACGCUUGAAUACAUUAGCAUGGAAUAAUGAAAUAGGACGUUUGAUUCUAUUUUGUUGGUUUCUAGGAUCGACGUAAUGAUUAAUAGGGAUAGUUGGGGGCAUUAGUAUUCAAUUGUCAGAGGUGAAAUUCUUGGAUUUAUUGAAGACUAACUACUGCGAAAGCAUUUGCCAAGGAUGUUUUCAUUAAUCAAGAACGAAAGUUAGGGGAUCGAAGACGAUCAGAUACCGUCGUAGUCUUAACCAUAAACUAUGCCGACUAGGGAUCGGAUGAUGUUAAUUUUUUAAUGACUCAUUCGGCGCCUUACG
rnacentral:rRNA from 1 species